rnacentral:rRNA from 1 species
UACGAAGGGGGCUAGCGUUGCUCGGAAUCACUGGGCGUAAAGGGUGCGUAGGCGGGUCUUUAAGUCAGGGGGGAAAUCCUGGAGCUCAACUCCAGAACUGCCCUUGAUACUGAGGAUCUUGAGUUCGGGAGAGGUGAGUGGAACUGCGAGUGUAGAGGUGAAAUUCGUAGAUAUUCGCAAGAACACCAGUGGCGAAGGCGGCUCACUGGCCCGAUACUGACGCUGAGGCACGAAAGCGUGGGGAGCAAACAGG